rnacentral:lncRNA from 1 species
GUUUUUUUAUUAUGUGUUGUUUUUUUGUUUUUUUCUGUCAUUGUGCAGCAACUUUGCAUUCAAUACAAAAACUAUUAAUGUGGAAUUUCAAAAAAUAUCAAGGAAGAUAUAUUUCAUCAAAUUUCUCCUGGUAAUAUGGGUCAACAGUAAUAAAUAAUUUUUUGCUAAUUCACUAAUAAUUAUUGAGUGAUUUGUGCAUUUCUCCAGCAUUUAAUUCACUGUGCUUGAAGCAGAAUUGACCUUGUCUCAUGAGCGGAUGAUCCCAUAUAUGUGAGCGAUAAAGUGAAGUGUUCUCGCGGGGUGGUUAUGUUUUGCAAAAUAUGGCAAAAAUGUGAGACGGGUGCUACAGUGUCCACUGUGACUCACAGAUCUCAGAGAGGACAGAUUCCCACCUGGAAAACUCGCGCCUCUGCCUGACUCUGUGGGACGGAGUCCUGCAGCUCGGAGCGCAGGUGGAGAAGUGGAGCGCCGAUGAACUCGCGGCGUUCGCUCGGUCGCCGCGCUUUCAGUCCGAGGACGACGUCAGGGCACUGCAGGUGGAACUCGAAGUUUACUCUCAUCCUCCUGUAACAUGCACACUUUCAGAACCCCUCGUGGUUGUCGUAUGUGAAGUUAAACCAUUUCUGCAGGUGCUUUGAAUAGUGAUGACCUUCCUCUGUCUCCAGAAGGAGAUUGUGGCCCAGGAGGAGAAUGUGAGUGUUUUCAACGGAGAGCCGCUGAGAUUCAAUCUCUGCUUCGAAGUGCAGAUCCCCCGCUGGAGCUGCAGGUGGCGGAGGCCCAGAUGAGGAAGACGCUGGAGCAGCUGAAGGAGCUUGUGUCCGAGGCUGAGGACGUCCGCGAGCAGACGGAGGCUGCCAGGGGACAAAUAGCUGCGCGGAUCGCCGGCUGCUUCGAGUGCCUCCAGAACGUUCAGGACUCCCUCGUCGCCCUCGGUGGAUCAGAUGUGGCAACGGUCCUCGCAAAACUUAAAGAUCUAUGUCGGCGACUCCAGGCCCAGGACGAGCGGGUGGAGAGCUUGCUGGACGACCUGCGCGCCCUGAGCUCCGUCUGCGGCCCGGACGCUCUACAGAGUCUGUCGGCGGAGGCGCUGCGGCUGCACGACGAGGUCGGGAACUCGCGCCGGCUCUUCUCCGAGGUGCAAGAACAGACUCAGCGGAACGCCCGGGAUCUCCACAGGUGCCAGAAGUUCACGGUCACGUAACGUUCACAUUCACAAACAUUCGCACACCACAACACGGGCGUUGAAGAGCCGCUCGGCAGGUAUGUCCGGAGUCGCUGUAGUUUUAAUCUAUUGUCCGAAAGCUGCCUGAUCGCUUGGCUGUGAUUUAGUGGUUGUCACCAGCCUAAAGAAACACAAAGCAGGCAAAACCUGAAGUGAACUUACAGUCGCGGAUGAGUCUCAAAGCACGAGAGCAGCUGGUGAUCAGUGAAGAAUGCAGAACAUAUUUAUUUAAUACUUUAGAGGACAUCAGAUUGGAUCAGAUUUGAAAAGAAAAAAAUCUGUCUUGAGUAUUAAGGAAAUUAUUUAGUUGAAUCCAUGAUAUUUCUUAAUAUAAUAAUUCACCUUUGCGUUGCCUGUCAGUGCUUUAUUGUUGCACUCACGUUCUCACCCUGAUAUCACUUGAAUAUAGUUUAAUGGUAAAAAAAAAAGAAGUGAUAAUUAAACAGCUACAAUAGUUGGCUACAAUAACGGAUGAUGUAAAUAAUAAGCUUAAAAUUUUAAAUGUGUUGGCUAACACUAAGCUACGUAGUUGAAAAGUCCCAACUUCUGCCACUCAAAGUGAUAUAUGUACAAAUACAAACUCAAACCAAAUCGAGACAGAUGACCGCCCACAACUGAGUCUGGUUCUGUCAGAGAUUUCUUCCUGUUAAAAGGGAGUUUUUUCUCUCCACCGUCGCCAAGUGCUUUGCUCAUUGUGGGAUUUGUUGGGUUUUCCCUGUAAUAUUGUAAUAUUGACCUCACUAUGUAAAGUGCCUUGAGACAAUGUAUGUUGUGAUAUGGCCCUAUACAAAUAAAAUUGAAUUGAAUUGAAUUGAAUCUACUGUAUAGUAGGUUUUGCAUAUUGCACACGAGCGUCGUGUGCACUCGUGCCUGCAUUCAUGCUGCAUGUAUGAAUGGAUUUUUUAUUUGAUAGGGACGGUGCAAUUUACUUAGUGCAAAGUACAAAGCCGGAAACCGAUGAGAGUUUAUAGCUGUAGCUAAUUUGCAACUUUUGUCCCUUGUCUGUGUGUGUGUGUGUGUGUGUGUGUGUGUGUGUGUGUGUGUGCGUGUGCGUGUGUCGCAGGUUGCAAAGGGAGAGUGAGCAUGUGGAGCAAUGGCUGCAAGCCGCUGAGGAAAAGGCAGCGAGGGCGGAGGAUCUCAGUCUCCUGUCAGAGGAAGCACUUAAUAUAAGGUAAGUUAAGGCAAGGUAAUGCUCUGUUUGCUGUUUUUGCAAAUCUUGUAUUAAUUAAGACUUCAUAUGUAUUUGUGAGCUGUUAUCAGGCACUGGGAGCGGCGUCCGUAUUUAGGCUCAAGUUAGUUUAUUGACUUCCAUGAAGCAGCAGUACAAUACAAAUUAGUCAUACGUGACCAAACAUCCCAUAUGCAAGUCUUGUCUGCACAUGAAUAAGUCCACGAUUUAAAUUCUUAUUAAAUAAAGCAGCAAGAUUCUCUCUUUCCAAAGUAAAGUCGGUGCUGAAUCUAAUCUGAUGUGUACACAUCGGGAAUCACGAUCAGGAUUGAAGUGAGGAAAUAAGCACCAGAUUAAUACAAUUGAAUCAACAAAGUGCAGUGGUUCUGACUUUACAGACAUGAGUUGUGGAGGUUGUUUGUCCUGUUAUUCACCACCAGAGGCGACUGACUCACGCUGAGCCACGUGACCGUUUGUUGACACACAAAAGGUGGAAAAUCGUAGAUUGAGAUGUAAAGAAUGACACAACCCUCUUUUUUUUAUUUUCUAUCAAUAAUUCAGUCGACGGCCAUUUUGAAAGCUGUUUAAUAUUUUUUAACAACCAGUACAAUAAUGUGAAGCCUGAU